rnacentral:rRNA from 1 species
CCUACGGGUGGCAGCAGUGGGGGAUAUUGCACAAUGGGGGAAACCCUGAUGCAGCGACGCCGCGUGAGUGAAGAAGUAAUUCGGUAUGUAAAGCUCUAUCAGCAGGGAAGAAAAUGACAGUACCUGACCAAGAAGCCCCGGCUAACUACGUGCCAGCAGCCGCGGUAAUACGUAGGGGGCAAGCGUUAUCCGGAUUUACUGGGUGUAAAGGGAGCGUAGACGGCAGUGUAAGUCUGGAGUGAAAGGCGGGGGCUCAACCCCGGGACUGCUGUGGAAACUGUGAGGCUGGAGUGCAGGAGGGGUAAGCGGAAUUCCUAGUGUAGCGGUGAAAUGCGUAGAUAUUAGGAGGAACACCAGUGGCGAAGGCGGCUUACUGGACUGAAACUGACGUUGAGGCUCGAAAGCGUGGGGAGCAAACAGGAUUAGAUACCCGAGUAGUC